UUUUUUUUUUUUUUUUUUUUUUUUUUGUUCUCUCUGCCUUAUCGUUUUCGGCCAGGCGAGGGAGAGUGUGUGUUGGUGAGACAACAAACACAUAUCAUCAGAAUUAAAUUUAGUAUUUUUUUUUUCUUUUUGUCUUUUUCUUU
rnacentral:ribozyme from 13 species